rnacentral:rRNA from 1 species
GUGCCAGCAGCCGCGGUAAGACAGAGGGUGCAAACGUUGCUCGGAAUCACUGGGCGUAAAGGGCGUGUAGGCGGGACGGUAAGUCGGGCGUGAAAUCCCUGGGCUCAACCCAGGAACUGCACUCGAAACUACCAUUCUUGAGUGUCGGAGAGGAAAGCGGAAUUCCUGGUGUAGAGGUGAAAUUCGUAGAUAUCAGGAGGAACACCAGUGGCGAAGGCGGCUUUCUGGACGAUAACUGACGCUGAGACGCGAAAGCGUGGGGAGCAAACAGGAUUAGAAACCCCGGUAGUCC